rnacentral:rRNA from 1 species
GACGAACGCUGGCGGCGUGCUUAACACAUGCAAGUCGAACGGAAAGGCCCUGCUUGCCGGGUGCUCGAGUGGCGAACGGGUGAGUAACACGUGGGUGAUCUGCCCCUUACUUUGGGAUAAGCCUGGGAAACUGGGUCUAAUACUGGAUAGGACCAUGCUGUAGGUGGUGUGGUGGAAAGAUUAGUUUCGGUAAGGGAUGAGCUCGCGGCCUAUCAGCUUGUUGGUGGGGUAAUGGCCUACCAAGGCGUCGACGGGUAGCCGGCCUGAGAGGGUGGACGGCCACAUUGGGACUGAGAUACGGCCCAGACUCCUACGGGAGGCAGCAGUGGGGAAUAUUGCACAAUGGGCGCAAGCCUGGUGCAGCGACGCCGCGUGGGGGAUGACGGCCUUCGGGUUGUAAACUCCUUUCAGCCAUGACGAAGCCCUUGUGGUGACGGUAGUGGUAGAAGAAGCACCGGCUAACUACGUG